rnacentral:rRNA from 1 species
GAUGAACGCUGGCGGCGUGCCUAAUACAUGCAAGUCGAGCGAACAGACGAGGAGCUUGCUCCUCUGACGUUAGCGGCGGACGGGUGAGUAACACGUGGAUAACCUACCUAUAAGACUGGGAUAACUUCGGGAAAACGGAGCUAAUACCGGAUAAUAUAAUGAACCGCAUGGUUCAAUAGUGAAAGACGGUUUUGCUGUCACUUAUAGAUGGAUCCGCGCCGCAUUAGCUAGUUGGUAAGGUAACGGCUUACCAAGGCAACGAUGCGUAGCCGACCUGAGAGGGUGAUCAGCCACACUGGAACUGAGACACGGUCCAGACUCCUACGGGAGGCAGCAGUAGGGAAUAUUCCGCAAUGGGCGAAAGCCUGACGGAGCAACGCCGCGUGAGUGAUGAAGGUCUUCUGAUCGUAAAACUCUGUUAUUAGGGAAGAACAAAUGUGUAAGUAACUAUGCACGUCUUGACGGUACCUAAUCAGAAAGCCACGGCUAACUACGUG